GGCAUGGUGGCGCAGUGGAUAGCAUGUUUGUCUCGUGCCUCUGGGGUCGGGGGUUUGAUUCCACCCUAUCUG